AACACGCAUCAAUGUUUACCUGUUUCUUCCGGCUAACAACCCAUGAGCUGACUAAAGUAUUAGCUCUGCGGGCUAACAAACAAAGCUAAGUAAAGUAUUAGCUCUGCAGGCUAACAUACAUGGCUAAAACCUCCUCGCACAUCAAUCCUCCCUGGAUUUAAAGCUUUAAUCCCGUUUACUUGUAGGUAUUUGUGGACUGUUGCUCUCUGGACAUUUUGUUAAUAUUAUGUUAAGAUUAAAUGUAGUUAGCACAAACCCGCAGCAGGUUAAUAUUCAUUAAAACAUUAAGACACUUUGGACUGCAUUAAACUGAGUGUUUAUUCUCACCUGGAGUCAGAUUACCUGACUUCCUGCUGCGCUAUCUAAAGUUAUACUUCAAUUUCAGUCUGAGUUCAGAUUAUCCAGCACAAACAAAGAAAAACAUUCAGGUACUAACAGGAACAAAACUCCACUUUAAAGUUACCGGAGCAACUGACUCAAAGUGCGACAUGUCACUCAUUCACCUUGAUUUUGUACUAAAACUGUCUCUGAUUGGUGGGAACCUCCGACCCACAAUGUCCAGGUGUAGCGAUCAGUAGUUAUGAUCAGGUGUAGUGAUCAGUAGUUAUGAUCAGGUGUAGUGAUCAGUAGUUAUGAUCAGGUGUAGUGAUCAGUAGUUAUGAUCAGGUGUAGUGAUCAGGUGUAGUGAUCAGUAGUUAUGAUCAGGUGUAGUGAUCAGGUGUAGUUAUGAUCAGGUGUAGUGAUCAGGUGUAGUGAUCAGGUGUAGUUAUGAUCAGGUGUAGUGAUCAGGUGUAGUAAUCAGGUGUAGUGAUCAGGUGUAGUGAUCAGGUGUAGUGAUGAGCCUCCGGAGCCCCCUGUCAUAACAGAUGACUGACGUCACUCAGGCGUCGUCCUUUAAUGUUUACAGUCUAUGAUCUAAAGGAAAAGAUAACAUGGCCUAACUGCUGCACC